rnacentral:tRNA from 5 species
GCGGAUGUGGCGGAACUGGUAGACGCCCCGGAUUUAGGUUCCGGUGCCGAAAGGCGUGGGGGUUCGAGUCCCUUCAUCCGCACCA